UACGUAGGGUGCGAGCGUUAAUCGGAAUUACUGGGCGUAAAGCGUGCGCAGGCGGUUUUGUAAGCCAGAUGUGAAAUCCCCGGGCUUAACCUGGGAAUGGCAUUUGGGACUGCAUCGCUGGAGUGCGGCAGAGGGGGAUGGAAUUCCGCGUGUAGCAGUGAAAUGCGUAGAUAUGCGGAGGAACACCGAUGGCGAAGGCAAUCCCCUGGGCCUGCACUGACGCUCAUGCACGAAAGCGUGGGGAGCAAACAGG
rnacentral:rRNA from 1 species